rnacentral:rRNA from 1 species
GACGAACCGUGCGAACGUUGUUCGGAAUCACUGGGCUUAAAGGGCGCGUAGGCGGACCAUCAAGUCCGGGGUGAAAUCUUUCGGCUUAACCGGAAAACAGCCCUGGAUACUGGUGGUCUCGAGCGAGGUAGGGGCCGUUGGAACUUCCGGUGGAGCGGUGAAAUGCGUUGAUAUCGGAAGGAACGCCGGUGGCGAAAGCGAACGGCUGGACCUCUUCUGACGCUGAGGCGCGAAAGCGUGGGGAGCAAACAGG